rnacentral:rRNA from 1 species
GACGAACGCUGGCGGCGUGCCUAAUACAUGCAAGUAGAACGCUGAAGAGAGGAGCUUGCUCUUCUUGGAUGAGUUGCGAACGGGUGAGUAACGCGUAGGUAACCUGCCUUGUAGCGGGGGAUAACUAUUGGAAACGAUAGCUAAUACCGCAUAACAAUGUAUGACACAUGUCAUUUAUUUGAAAGGGGCAAUUGCUCCACUACAAGAUGGACCUGCGUUGUAUUAGCUAGUAGGUGAGGUAAUGGCGCACCUAGGCGACGAUACAUAGCCGGCCUGAGAGGGGGGUCGGCCACACCGGGAAUGAGGAACGGCCCAGACGACUACGGGAGGCAGCAGUAGGGAAUCUUCGGCAAUGGGGGCAACCCUGACCGAGCAACGCCGCGUGAGGGAAGAAGGGUUUCGGAUCGGAAAGCUCGGUUGUAAGUGAAGAAAGGGAGGGGGAGGGGAAAGUGCACAUUGUGACGGUAGCUUACCAGAAAGGGACGGCUAACUACGUG